UACGUAGGGUCCGAGCGUUGUCCGGAGUUACUGGGCGUAAAGCGCGCGCAGGUGGUUCACUAAGCCCGGCGUGAAAGCCCCCGGCUCAACCGGGGAGGGUCGUCGGGGACUGGUGAACUUGAGGGCGGCAGGGGCUGGUGGAAUCCCCGGUGUAGUGGUGAAAUGCGUAGAGAUCGGGGGGAACACCCGUGGCGAAGGCGGCCAGCUGGGCCGACCCUGACGCUGAGGCGCGAAGGCGUGGGGAGCGAACGGG
rnacentral:rRNA from 1 species